rnacentral:rRNA from 1 species
AGAGUUUGAUCCUGGCUCAGGAUGAACGCUGGCGGUAUGCUUAACACAUGCAAGUCGAACGGGCUCUUCGGAGCUAGUGGCGGACGGGUGAGUAACGCGUGAGAAUCUGGCUUCAGGUUCGGGACAACAGUUGGAAACGGCUGCUAAUACCGGAUGUGCCUAAUGGUGAAAGAUUUAUCACCUGAAGAUGAGCUCGCGUCUGAUUAGCUAGUAGGUGUGGUAAGAGCGCACCUAGGCGACGAUCAGUAGCUGGUCUGAGAGGAUGAUCAGCCACACUGGGACUGAGACACGGCCCAGACUCCUACGGGAGGCAGCAGUGGGGAAUUUUCCGCAAUGGGCGAAAGCCUGACGGAGCAAUACCGCGUGAGGGAGGAAGGCUCUUGGGUUGUAAACCUCUUUUCUCAGGGAAGAAUGAUGACGGUACCUGAGGAAUAAGCAUCGGCUAACUCCGUGCCAGCAGCCGCGGUAAUACGGAGGAUGCAAGCGUUAUCCGGAAUGAUUGGGCGUAAAGCGUCCGCAGGUGGCAAUGUAAGUCUGCUGUCAAAGCGUCUGGCUCAACCAGAUAAAGGCAGUGGAAACUACAUAGCUAGAGUAAGGUAGGGGUAGAGGGAAUUCCUGGUGUAGCGGUGAAAUGCGUAGAGAUCAGGAAGAACACCGGUGGCGAAAGCGCUCUGCUGGACCUUAACUGACACUGAGGGACGAAAGCUAGGGGAGCGAAUGGGAUUAGAUACCCCAGUAGUCCUAGCCGUAAACGAUGGAUACUAGGCGUUGCCCGUAUCGACCCGGGCAGUGUCGUAGCUAACGCGUUAAGUAUCCCGCCUGGGGAGUACGCAGGCAACUGUGAAACUCAAAGGAAUUGACGGGGGCCCGCACAAGCGGUGGAGUAUGUGGUUUAAUUCGAUGCAACGCGAAGAACCUUACCAGGGCUUGACAUGUCCGGAAUCCUCUUGAAAGGGAGGAGUGCCUUCGGGAGCCGGAACACAGGUGGUGCAUGGCUGUCGUCAGCUCGUGUCGUGAGAUGUUGGGUUAAGUCCCGCAACGAGCGCAACCCUCGUUCUUAGUUGCCAUCAUUAAGUUGGGAACUCUAAGGAGACUGCCGGUGACAAACCGGAGGAAGGUGGGGAUGACGUCAAGUCAGCAUGCCCCUUACGCCCUGGGCUACACACGUACUACAAUGCUAUGGACAAAGGGCAGCAAGCCAGCGAUGGCAAGCAAAUCUCGUAAACCAUGGCUCAGUUCAGAUCGCAGGCUGCAACUCGCCUGCGUGAAGUCGGAAUCGCUAGUAAUUGCAGGUCAGCAUACUGCAGUGAAUUCGUUCCCGGGCCUUGUACACACCGCCCGUCACACCAUGGAAGCUGGUCACGCCCGAAGUCGUUACCCUAACCUUUCGAGGAGGGGGACGCCGAAAGUAGGACUGGUGACUGGGGUGAAGUCGUAACAAGGUAGCCGUACCGGAAGGUGUGGCUGGAUCACCUCCUUUUUAGGGAGACCUACCUAAAGAACAAAGAACAAAGAACAAAGAACAAGAAAUUUUUGUUUUUUUCUUCUUGAUAAAAUGUUCUGUCUUUAGGACAUCCCGAGGUCGGUCGCAAUCUUAAGGUAGGCUUUCAAACUAUAAACAGGGUUCGAUUAUGGGCUAUUAGCUCAGGUGGUUAGAGCGCACCCCUGAUAAGGGUGAGGUCCCUGGUUCGAGUCCAGGAUGGCCCACCUGAAGACAGUGAACAGUCAACAGUAAAAAACUGGUAGCUGGUAACUGGUAACUGAAAACUGACUUAGGGGGGUUUAGCUCAGUUGGUAGAGCGCCUGCUUUGCAAGCAGGAUGUCAGCGGUUCGAGUCCGCUAACCUCCACCUACUCCACCAAAAAAAAUGCCACCAAAAAAAAUUGCUGAGAAGCAACAAGCAAAAAAAGUGAGAGAAAACUUUUUGUUGGCAAACGAGUGUGGUAGAAUGAGAAAAUGUGGGUGAAUUCAGCAAUAUGACGUUCGUCAGACUGCUGGGUGUGAACCAGCCAGAACCUUGAAAACUGCAUAGUAACGCGAAGCAGGUAGACACAGACAUACUAUGAUUGCAUGGAUGAAAGUGUUUGCUGAUAUAGAUUUCACCAAUUGUUGAGUGGUCAAGCGAAUAAGGGCUAAUGGUGGAUACCUAGGCACACAGAGGCGAAG